GACGAACGCUGGCGGCGUGCCUAAUACAUGCAAGUAGAACGCACAGUUUAUACCGUAGCUUGCUACACCAUAGACUGUGAGUUGCGAACGGGUGAGUAACGCGUAGGUAACCUGCCUGGUAGCGGGGGAUAACUAUUGGAAACGAUAGCUAAUACCGCAUAAUAUUGAUUAUUGCAUGAUAAUUGAUUGAAAGAUGCUAUUGCAUCACUACCAGAUGGACCUGCGUUGUAUUAGCUAGUAGGUGAGGUAACGGCUCACCUAGGCGACGAUACAUAGCCGACCUGAGAGGGUGAUCGGCCACACUGGGACUGAGACACGGCCCAGACUCCUACGGGAGGCAGCAGUAGGGAAUCUUCGGCAAUGGACGAAAGUCUGACCGAGCAACGCCGCGUGAGUGAAGAAGGUUUUCGGAUCGUAAAGCUCUGUUGUAAGAGAAGAACGGGUGUGAGAGUGGAAGGUUCACACUGUGACGGUAUCUUACCAGAAAGGGACGGCUAACUACGUG
rnacentral:rRNA from 1 species